CUCCCACUUAAGCCUUCCAAGUAGCUUGAACUACAGAAACCACAGAUGCUUUAUAGAGCUGUAGAACCUCUGUGUGUCCAUGAAUGACUGCUUCCAGCUGCUGCAUCCCGAAGCCUUAGUCCACCUGUGAUUUGGAGCUGAGGAGCAAGUCAAAGCCAAGUGCAACUGUACAGGAAGACUCUUCUUUCUGGCUGGGAUGACACUUUGUCCAUGGAAACACUCAAGUUCAAGUUCACCACUCAAGCAUAAGCAAAGUGACUACAUGAGACUAAGAGAAUGUGUUUGCUAUCCCCUCUGCAAACCCUUCUCCCAGGCCUUCCCAUGGCUGGCUCCAUCUCAUGAUUCUGACUUCAGCUCAAAUGUUGCUCCCUUGAGAGAGGCCUUCCCAGAACAUUCCACAGCUGUCUAAGGCUGUGCCAUUUGUGCAUCACAAUAGCAUUGUGCAGAGGGGGUGCAUGGGGCCCAAAUCCAUCCUGUGAUUGGCUCCUCAAGGAUUUCAUAAGGGAAAGGCUUUGGAGGGUGAGCAAAGACCUUGGACUCUGUGUCUAGGUUAGCACCCCCACCUCCCAUACCCUGUCUCACAUUGUCGGACUUCUGUCUACAUAGUAUGCAUGACUGCUAUCUGAAAUGAGGCAUUUCGGCAACUUGAAAUUGUGUUUCUAUUUGUUAACCAUCUCCUCCCAUCAUAAUGUAAGCCUCACAGAAGUAAGGACUGUAUCUGUCUUGUUACUGUUUGUCCUCCCAGUGCUGGGCACAUAGUAGGUACUCAAUAAAUAUCUACUAGUGAAUGUA